AGAGUCAGAAGUCAGAGCUUUGCUGUGAGACCAGCAUCCACGCGGAUGUGCCCCAGGCUACAUUCAGCUGCGUUCCUAUUGCUAAAGACCUGAACAAGCACAAACUAUACUGGCAUGAAGAGAAUCGACACCUAACCCCAGAGCACAGACCCACACUCCUGUUCAAAGGCUGCCAAGUUCAGCAAAUCUGUCUGGCAUUUGAGGCAAAAAGGAAACCUGAUUUUACUGUAAACAUCCCAACCUUGUCAUGCAGAUGCUGGGAGACUGUAUGAUGUCAAACUGUAAUCAGAGGAAGCCACCAACAAGCUGUGCUGCUGCAGUCAUGGGCUAAGAAUCCAUCGUAUUCCAUCUAUACCUCUGUCCACACUUACUGUCUGUAUUCCAGUCAAUAAACUGAUUUUUUUCUGGCCAUCUCCACUGUACAUUUUUAUUCUCAUUUUGUGGCAUAUUAUUAGAUCAUUUUCAGCAAUCUAUGGCUGAAUUUGUUCUUCAUGGGCAAAGAAUUUCUG
ensembl:lncRNA